CCUACGGGGGGCUGCAGUAGGGAGUUUUCGGCAAUGGGGGAAACCCUGACCGAGCAACGCCGCGUGAGUGAUGAAGGUCUUCGGAUUGUAAAGCUCUGUUAUAAGGGAAGAACGGCAGCUAGAGGAAAUGCUAGCUGUUUGACGGUACUUUAUGAGAAAGCCACGGCUAACUACGUGCCAGCAGCCGCGGUAAUACGUAGGUGGCAAGCGUUAUCCGGAAUUAUUGGGCGUAAAGAGUGAGCAGGCGGCAGUUUAAGUUUGGAGUCAAAGCGAGGGGCUCAACCCCUUAACGCUCUGAAAACUGAACAGCUAGAGUGCGAGAGAGGUAAGUGGAAUUCCAUGUGUAGCGGUGAAAUGCGUAGAUAUAUGGAGGAACACCAGUGGCGAAGGCGACUUACUAGCUCGAUACUGACGCUCAGUCACGAAAGCGUGGGUAGCAAAUAGGAUUAGAUACCCCUGUAGUC
rnacentral:rRNA from 1 species